GACAGUGUGGCAUAGUGGUUUGAGCACUGGACUAUGGCUCUGGAGACCAGGGUUCAGAUCCCCACUGGGUGA